GCAUGGGAUAGCCUUUCUAAAUGUUUUUUUUUUGAGCAAUUCUAUUUUAGCAAGACUAUCGCAACCAUGCAAAAAGCAACGGCAAAUCCGUUGCUUAUUUUUGU
rnacentral:sRNA from 18 species